UAAAGACUGUAGAGGCAGCUGGUGUUCUCACGCAAAAUGGCCAAGGUGUGGGAGACUGGAUCUUUGACUCUGGCAAUCUCUGGG
rnacentral:miRNA from 1 species